rnacentral:lncRNA from 1 species
UAACUCUUCUGCUGCUCACAUCUUUCCCAUAUAACAAAGUAGUAUCAUCUCUGAAGUCAGCAGCAGCUGGCCUCAUGCCAUUUCAUACCAUUUUCAUGCAGUCAUCUUUUGUUCUGGGGACAAAUGACAAGAGGUUUGAAGAGUUGAUUAUUUGGGACUUGAAGGAGGUUUGACAUGAGAACCUGCAUUUAAAACCACAGAUUGGGCUCUGCUUGCUGGACCCCAGUGGUUGGACUGAGUCCCAUGAAGCCAGAUCACUUCUGACUGCAAGGAGCUUGGAAAAGCAAGUAUCUGGAUCUUUUACCAGCUAAAUUUGGAGAAUUAUUGAUCAAAUUUGGAUCUCUGUGUGCUGUCCUCCAAUUUAAUACUUUCUGUGUUGCUGUUUUAUUUUCUUUCUUCUGGAACCUGGCAAAGUGCGUCAAGCGAUGAGGCUUCCUCUUUGAAGAUCACAGGUGAGAAGAUUAGGUGCUUUCUCAGAAGCCCAGCAACCUGAUGGGAGUGUGGAGUGAGCAAGACCCAAAUCGGAGCUUCAUCCCUGCAUGGUUCAUUUUGCUUAUUUGGCAAACUUGCCCUGCAGAAUCUACUCAAGCUUCCUCAGUUUCUCAAAUCAUUCUUGGGCAACAAAUGAACAAGAAAGAGGACGUCUUAUUAUCUGGUGUCUGGCUUGCUGAUUUAAUAACCUAGGAGACAGU